rnacentral:rRNA from 1 species
GAUGAACGCUGGCGGCGUGCCUAAUACAUGCAAGCCGUACGAAGGAGCUUGCUCCUUAGUGGCGAACGGGUGAGUAAUACAUAAAUAAUCUGCCUCAAUGUCUGGGAUAACUAUUGGAAACGAUAGCUAAUACCGGAUAGCUAAUCGGAAGACAUCUUCUGAUUACUAAAGGAGCGUUCGCUCCGCUUUGAGAUGAGUUUAUGGCGCAUUAGUUAGUUGGCGGGGUAAUGGCCCACCAAGACGAUGAUGCGUAGCCGAUCUGAGAGGAUGACCGGCCACACUGGGACUGAGACACGGCCCAGACUCCUACGGGAGGCAGCAGUAGGGAAUUUUCGGCAAUGGGCGAAAGCCUGACCGAGCAACGCCGCGUGAGUGAUGAAGGCCUUCGGGUUGUAAAGCUCUGUUGUUAGGGAAGAAUGAUCAGGAUAGGAAAUGAUCUUGAAGUGACGGUACCUAACCAGAAAGCCACGGCUAACUACGUGCCAGCAGCCGCAGUAACAC